rnacentral:lncRNA from 1 species
GCACUGGUCCACGGUGACCCCAAGGAGGACAUGAUCCCCCUUGUCUGGGAGAACAAGAGUAGAUGGUUCGGUGUAUGCAAAUAUCACAGUUCCAGGUAACUUGAAGGAGCAGUUUGGAUUUAGAAACCCACACCUGUGACUGAUGGGAGUGGUGGACAAAUACCCACAACUUCCUCUCUCUACUCUUGGCUGAGGACAAUUCUGAAGUGAGCCCUACACUGUCUCCCAGAUGCAGUCUGACCUGAGCCAUGAAGAAGUGCAGAGUCCCCAAGAGGCCAGAGAGCUCACGUCUGGUUAGAGUCGGGGUGUUUGAUGGGAAGAUGAAAGGAGGAGCUGGCAUCUGAGAUCUCAUGCGAUGUGUGGAAACAGGACGAGUUUUAAUCUGCUCAGCAUGCAGGUGUACAUGUGGGCCUCACUGUCCUCCACAGAAUGCCCCCAGGAAGGGGUGGGAGGAUGGAUUACAAAAUCCAACAGGCAACUAUCAGGUAGUACAGCUCCCAGAAGUCUGGUAAUCCCUCGUCGACAUGUCCUAUAAUGGAAGUAAAGAAUGCGAGAAACCAAAAA